UGUCCCUAUCUACUAUCUAGCGAAACCACAGCCAAGGGAACGGGCUUGGAAUAAUUAGCGGGGAAAGAAGACCCUUUUGAGCUUGACUCUAAUCUGGCAGUGUAAGGAGACAUAAGAGGUGUAGAAUAAGUGGGAGAUAUUAGACCUCGGUUUGGUAUCGUCAAUGAAAUACCACUACUCUUAUUGUUUCCUUACUUACUUGAUUAAAUGGAACGUGUAUCAUUUCCUAGCCAUUAUACGGAUAUAUUUAUUAUAUCUUAUGGUAUUGGGUUUUGAUGCAAGCUUCUUGAUCAAAGUAUCACGAGUUUGUUAUAUAAUCGCAAACAAAUUCUUUAAUAAAACGAUGCAUUUAUGUAUUUUUGAUUUGAAAAUUUGGUAUAACUCCAAUUACUCAGGUAUGAUCCAAUUCAAGGACAUUGCCAGGUAGGGAGUUUGACUGGGGCGGUACAUCUCUCAAAUAAUAACGGAGGUGUCCCAAGGCCAGCUCAGUGCGGACAGAAACCACACAUAGAGCAAAAGGGCAAAUGCUGACUUGAUCUCGGUGUUCAGUACACACAGGGACAGCAAAAGCUCGGCCUAUCGAUCCUUUUGGUUUAAAGAGUUUUUAACAAGAGGUGUCAGAAAAGUUACCAUAGGGAUAACUGGCUUGUGGCGGCCAAGCGUUCAUAGCGACGUCGCUUUUUGAUCCUUCGAUGU
rnacentral:ncRNA from 1 species